AGUCAGCUCGCGGGAACGCCUUCCCGCAAUGCUCAAGAACGGAAAUUUCCUCUUUUGAAAACAUUUAAUGUAUUUUGGGCCUCCCCUGCAACGCCUUAAACAGCCCAUUUUUAACCAGAAUAAUUUAGUCUGACAACAGAUUCUUCAUCUGUUCACAGCUGUCCCAGAAGGAGGAGCUGAAAUCCGAACCUCUCGGCUGUGAUUGGAUGUUUCUAGUAAAAGCCAGGGAGAAAUCCCCUCCCAGCCCAGAAGAGCUCAGUCGGGCAGAGAGCCGGGUGACUUCAGAGGCUCCCGCCUGUCCCCCGCCGCACCUGAGCCGCUGCGAUGCUGUAGGACCGCCGCCUGGACCGUUAUCCGCCCGCCCGCCGCCACCAUGCCGCGCUCCUUCCUCGUCAAGAAACAUUUCAAUGCCUCCAAGAAGCCCAACUACAGCGAACUGGACACACACACAGUGAUCAUUUCCCCGUAUCUCUAUGAGAGUUACCCCAUGCCUGUCAUACCAAAACCAGAGAUCCUCAGUUCAGGAGCAUACAGCCCUAUUACUAUGUGGACAUCGGCAGCUCCAUUCCACUCCCCUCUACCCAGUGGUCUUUCUCCUCUUACUGGAUACUCCUCACCCUUGGGGCGAGUAAGCCCCCCUCCUCCAUCUGAUACUUCAUCCAAAGACCACAGUGGUUCAGAAAGUCCCAUUAGUGAUGAAGAGGAAAGACUGCAAUCCAAGCUCUCAGACCCCCAUGCCACUGAAGCUGAGAAGUUUCAGUGCAAUUUAUGCAAUAAGACCUAUUCUACUUUCUCUGGGCUGGCCAAACAUAAGCAGUUGCAUUGUGAUGCCCAGUCUAGGAAAUCUUUCAGCUGCAAAUACUGUGACAAGGAAUAUGUGAGCCUGGGUGCCCUUAAGAUGCACAUUCGGACCCACACACUGCCUUGUGUCUGCAAGAUCUGUGGCAAGGCUUUCUCCAGACCCUGGCUGCUUCAAGGACACAUUAGAACUCACACAGGGGAAAAGCCUUUCUCUUGCCCUCAUUGCAACAGAGCUUUUGCAGACAGGUCAAACCUGAGGGCACAUCUGCAGACCCACUCUGAUGUAAAGAAAUACCAGUGCAAAAACUGCUCCAAAACCUUCUCCAGAAUGUCUCUUCUGCACAAGCAUGAGGAGUCUGGCUGCUGUGUGGCACACUGAGUGGCGUAACUAGUGUUUACUCGAACAGAAUACAUUUCAUCACUCCAAUGACAAAUGACAAAUGAAAGUCCAAAGCCAUUUUCUCUUGUGCUUACCUACCAAAUAAUAUGUACAGACACAAACAAGAGUCUCUCUCUCUCUCUCUCUCUCUCUCUCUCUCUCUCUCUCUCUCUCACACACACACACACACACACACACACACACACACACACACACACAUGAAACUACAGAACAGAAUCUAUAUGCUUAAAAUUAAUCCUUUCUAUGUGAAAUUUAAAGUUUUAUUUACUGACAGCUAGAUUGAAAGGCUAAAAGACAAGAACCUUUCUCUUUAAAGAUGAAGUGAAAAGCACAUUGCAUCUUUUCUUACUAAGAAAGAAUGCGGAGAUUUACAUUGCUGCCAAACCAUUUCAACUAAAAGGAACAGUAUUGCUUGUUAAUAGAGCUGUAAUAGUGUUUCCAAGAGGAAGAGAGUCUGCCAGAUGCUAUCUCAGGUGCCUUAUAAAAUACUCCAAGUUUACUUCCUUACAUGUCGGAUGUCUGGUUGUCAUCGGUGAAUGAAAGCCUUUUCUGGAUUACCUACAAUGCUUUAAACUCUAUUGUUAAGAGAAAAAAAAUAUGAGAAAAAGAACAGAACACAGGAGAAUGUAUUAAAAUAUUCUUGUUUUGUUUCAUUUUUGCCAUGUGUGCCUUGGAAGAGGAGGAAAGGACAAGCUUCAAACAUUCCUGGAAAUCUUUAGGUAUACACCAUGUGGAUUAGCAUUGCAGAAACGCAGAAGAGCAUGUGGACCAGAGCUGAGGACCGAACCCAGGGCCUUGCGCUUGCUAGGCAAGCGCUCUACCACUGAGCUAAAUCCCCAACUGAGUCACUCAUUCUUGUUCCUGCUCUUGGGUCAAUUUUCCUUCUGUUUGAUUGCCUUGCUAGCCUAAAUGUCAUGUUUUUUUGUUUAUCUUAUAUUUUUUUAUGUUUGUUGUUAAUAUCUUAGAAGCUUGUUCUUUUCUAAUGAGAGAUAGAAAGGGUGUGAAUCUGGAAGGGAGAGGAGGCAGAGAAACUGGGGGGAGUAGAGGGAAGGGAAACUGUAAUGAGGAUAUAUUACAUGAGAAAAGAAUCUAUUUUCAAUAAAAGGAAAAAAUGAAGAAAAAGUAAUCUGUAAGUUCUUGUUUCAUACUAAACUGUGCAAUAUUAACUGAUUUCCUGUCAGAACAUCUUCUGAUUGUAAGAUACUGCCCAGUUUUUAUCUGCAGGCUUCAAAUGACUCUCUGUGAUCAAUUAAAUGAAUUGUACAAUAUGUACUACUCUGAUGUCAGUAUCUAAUGGAACAGCUAGAACUAAUCUCAUGGCAUAUAAUCAAUAGACAUAGUGAGAAACCCAAAUCUACAAAACCAUCUGGCCAUUCAUAUUACAAUUUUGAAAAGCACAGGGUGCUACUCAUAAUCUCAUUAAUAACAGCUUCCAUAAUUACAGCAAUUAGGCUUAUAGUGGGCACCAAUCAUAAUGGCAUGGCAUUUAAUGCUUUAUUUAGAUGAUAUUAGUGUAGGUAUGAUUUCACAGUAAAUUAUAUGAUAAUGUAAGUCCGAACUGUCUGUGAUGCUGAGCUGUUAGGAUAUGAUUAUGUCAAAUAAAUCAUGCAAAAGCAGCUUGAUGUAAUUGCAGUAUAAUGUCAGAAAACAAAUUGCACUUAAAAACUGAACUAUAAAAUAGAUAAAGCAGUCUAUAUGGAAGGUGUUCCUCACCAAUGGUGAAUGUGUGUUGAAAGCAGACCAAGUGGAUUUUAGGCUAUGUGGCAGGGCCUUUUCACACGUCACAGCAUAGUUGAAUUGCUAGACUACACUAUGUCUCACAGAAGGAAAAAAGACCAGAGGCCAAAGUUCCACUCAGAAGCUGGAAGUUAGUUUCCAAUUCCUGACCAAGAACUUCUUCAGCAAUUUUAUAAUUAUGUAUCCCAAAUUAAAGUACCAGUUAUUCAUUAACCAAAAAUAACCAAUUAGAUUUCAAACUUAAAGCAAUGUAAAUAUGAAUGAUUCACAGGUCUUGUAAGCCUCCCUGCUCUCUCCUCUCUUCUCUUUUCCUCUUCCCUUCCCUUCUCUCUUCUCUCUCCCUCUCUCUCCUUCCCCCUCUCUUUCCCUCUCUCUCCCUCUCCCUCUCCAUCUCUCUCUCUCUCUCUCUCUCUCUCUCUCUCUCUCUCUCUCUUCCUCUCUCCUUGUCUCUCUCUAAUAAAACAGUUCUUUUCUAGAAUUUCAAUGUACUGUUGUUUUAAAUGUUAACACUGAACACUGCCUGUCUUAGUUUUAGGGUUUCUCUUGCUGUGAAGAAACACUAUGACCACAGCAGCUCUUAUAAAGGAAAUCAUUUAAGUGAAGUAGCUUGCUUACAUUUCAGAGCUUCAGUCCAUUAUCAUCAUGGAGAGACAUGAUGGUAUACAGGCAGACAGGUAGGUGAGAGUUCUACAUCUUGCAGGCAACAGGAAGUGGUUUGAGAUGCUGGGAAGUAUCUUAAUCAUAUAUGAGAUCUCAAAGACCUCCUUUGAGAUCCAGUGGCACACUUCCUCCAAUAAGGCCAUAUCUCCUAAUAGUGUCACUCCCUUUGGGGGCCAUUUUUCUUUUAAACCAUCACACUGCCCAACCUUAUGUAAUAUUACAUAUUGCUAAAUAUAUAAAUACAACCUGUUCAGGCCAGGAAAUGUUGCUUGUAUGUGUAAGUUUUAGGGUUAUCCACUUGGUAUUGUGCUGUGGAAUGUUUUGUAUGGCAAAUGUGUUGCUAAUUAGUUAAUAAAUAAAACACUGAUUGGCCAUUGGCUAGGCAGGAAGUGUAGGCGGGACAAGGAGGAGAAUAAAGCUGGGAAGUGGAAGGCUGAGUCUGAGAGACACUGCCAGCCGCCACGAUGAGAAACAGCAUGUGAAGAUGCCGGUAAGCCACGAGCCAUGUGGCAAGGUAUAGAUUAAUGGAGAUGGAUUAAUUUAAGCUGUAAGAACAGUUAGCAAGAAGCCUGCCACGGCCAUACAGUUUGUAACCAAUAUAAGUCUCUGUGUUUACUUGGUCGGGUCUGAGCGACUGUGGGACUGGCAGGUGAUAGAGAUUUGUCUUGACUGUGGGCCAGGCAGGAAAACUCUAGCUACAAAUGGCGCCCAACGUGGUGGCAAGAGUUUCCACCUAAAACCUGAGAAAAGAUUCUAAAACGGAGCUAAAAACAGUUCCUAAUUGUCUCUCUCAAAUGAGCGGCAGCUGCUGGUUUGAGCUACUGGUGGGUUCCUAGCGUGCGUGCUCGACCUGCCUAUGGCGGGAAUGAGGCCUUUGCAAGUGGCACUUUGAGCUGCAUGGUGGAUUUAGCCUUUGCUGGUGCAGAGCAAAAGGGGAGGUUUCUGGGCUACACGCUGCUUGACUAAAAGCAUAGACCCACGAUAGCUCCCAGAGCUGGUGGUAAACGUAGCCAUGUUGGGAAGCUAAGGUGGGUGGAGCCAGCAGCUACAGCUGCUGCAGUUUAAGGCAAUAGAUUCACAAUAAGACAGAUUCAGAUGUAAUAGUUUACAAUGUAUGUAAAAUAUACGUAGGCUUGAAAGAGACAAAAAAGGUGAUAUAUAGAGUUAUAGAAACAAAUACAUAGUUUUAAAAAAUAAAGUCUUUAAAGAGACAGUAAAGGUAGUAUAAAAAAUAAGCCACGUAAAAAUGGAUAUUACACAGAGAAUCUGGAUUGUGUUGUCUUUGGGACUUUUAACUGCAGAAAAACAUUUGAUUGUAAAAGCUGUUGAGUUAUGUCAAAAUGUAUACUUUAAAGGUACCUUGACUUCAAAAUUUGGAUAUAAGGAUAUGUUGCUUUGGAAAAGAGUCUCUUUUGUUUCCACAGAAAGCCAGAGGCUAUGGAUUUGUUCAAGAUUAAGAAACAUCAGGUUUGACCAGCCAAGACCCCCUGAAAGUCUCCGAUGACACCAUGGCCCAGAUGAUCCAACAUCCAGAAUGGUUUCAAGGCAACUGGCUCAGAUGAUACAGCCUCACAGACUAUUCCAUAAUCCUAAAAUUUUCUUUGUAUCCCCAUAAGAUACAGCGCCCCCCUCCAGCAGGAAGUAGUAAGAGAAGCUACGCCCAAAUUCCCAAAUUGUAUGUAAUUUUACUUUGUUAAGGUUAAAACCUUCCUUUUGAAAAAAAAAAGGGGGGGGAAGUGCUGUGGAAUGUUCUGUAUGGCAAAUGUGUUGCUAAUUAGUUAAUAAAUAAAACACUGAUUGGCCAUUGGCUAGGCAGGAAGUGUAGGCGGGACAAGGAGGAGAAUAAAGCUGGGAAGUGGAAGGCUGAGUCUGAGAGACACUGCCAGCCGCCACGAUGAGAAACAGCAUGUGAAGAUGCCGGUAAGCCACGAGCCAUGUGGCAAGGUAUAGAUUAAUGGAGAUGGAUUAAUUUAAGCUGUAAGAACAGUUAGCAAGAAGCCUGCCACGGCCAUACAGUUUGUAACCAAUAUAAGUCUCUGUGUUUACUUGGUCGGGUCUGAGCGACUGUGGGACUGGCAGGUGAUAGAGAUUUGUCUUGACUGUGGGCCAGGCAGGAAAACUCUAGCUACAGUAUUGGAUAACCAAUUGGUGUACUCUUCCACAAGGAAGACUAUUUUCCCAUUCUCCUCAUUCCUUAGUUCCCUGUAGUACUUUAGUCUAGGGUUGAGGUCUCAUGAACUUUCUCUAUUCCAUGUUAGCAAGGCUUGGUGUUUUCCUUGUUUAGGUCAUAUUUAGGAAGCUGUAUUGGUGAGACUUCAUGGGUAUAGCUUCUGAUAUUUGAAUGAGACACAAUCUCACAGCAAACUCCUUGUUCCUUUGGUUCUUAUAAUCUUUCCUCCCCUCUCUUUUGCAAUUAUCUCUGGGCCUUUGGCGCAGGAGUUGUAUUGUAGAUCCAUCUGUCAGGUGGUACUGAGCUCCAGAAGUCUGCAUGAUGAUUGAUUGUGUUUUUCUGUAAUGCUGUUCAUUUGUUGAAAAAAGUAGUUUUCUUGAUGAGGGCUGAAGACCACACUCAUCUAUGGGUAUAAGGGCAAAUGUAUAGAGUAUGGUUAAGGAUUAUUCUGGUUUAGGAAAAUGGCAGUUGUAGGUUCUCUACCAAUAUCAAUUACUUUAUUGACCCCUAGUAGUUGGAGAGAUUUCCUAUAUGAGUCAGGAUUUCCUUGUUGAGUAGAUCUUAAGUCUAAUUAGAGAGUUGUUGGUUAUCACUGCAAACCUACACAUAUCACUACUACACACUAAGGAUUAUGGUGCUACGCUGUCUUUUUGUUGUGAUUCAUAGGCCUUGCAGCAAUAUAAGUCUGUUGGUCACUUCCUCCAUUGGAAAUUUGCAUGGUAUGAUUUAGAACCACGAAAGCUAGUUCUCACAGAGGAGACUUUCAAGUUAGAAUGAACUUAGGUUCUUCAAGUCCUGCAUCUGAAGUGCAAGGUGUCAUCAGACUGCUGUGUCUUUGUCCUGUUAUUCACCUGAUUAAGGAGUCCAGAGCAUAUAAAAUGGAGCUAUGAUUGCUAAAAAAUAA